rnacentral:lncRNA from 1 species
AUGGGAGAAUGUGUCUGACUCACAACGAAGGAAUGAAGCAUGCCGGGCCUCAUCUCGGACCUGCACACUGCCCCUCAUUAUGUUCAUGAUCGGGAAAUGGAUAAAGAGUGGCCAGAAGGUGAAAAAGAAGAGAUGGCCCCCUGAAAGGGACAUCCACAUUUAUUUGAGCACCUACCAGGAUACCUGCUUUGGGAGCCUUCUGCUGCUGCGUGAGAUCCCUGGCUACCCUGGAGAGACAUCAGACAACAAGUGAGAUGCCCAAGAGCCCUAGCUGUCUUUGUCUUUGCAGCCCAAGCUCCAGACAUGUACUGAAGAAGCUUUAAGGAUAAAUUCAGUCCCAACUACUCCCUGGCUACAACUAUGAGACAGACCCUCCCAAGUCAGAACUGCCUAGCCAAGCUCAGGCAACUCCAAGAUUUAAGAGCAAAAUAAAAG